rnacentral:lncRNA from 1 species
UUGGUGUGCUGUGUAGAGGUUUUGGAUGUGCUCCAAAUUGAAAUGAGGCUGUUUUUCGUGUGCGAAUUGCUGAGUUUGCUUCAACUUUCAUCCUUCCCAUGGUCACUUUUGGUGAGUUCUUAUGAGUCCCAUGGUCACCUUUUUUUAGAAAGUAAUAAGUGAAAUCCUAUUAUGAAUGUCAUAUCUGAUGACUCCUUUUAUCUUAUUCAUGUAAAAAGGAUUGGUUGCCACCAUAUGUGGUGCUUAGGAAUGUCAAAACUGUAGGGGCAUGUUUCUUCCUAACAUGUGAAGUGGUUUUUUUUGGCUAUCUAGCAAACUUGUGGCUGUGCUUUCUCAUGUUAUACUAUGCUAGGCAGUUGCAUUGCAGUUUAAGAUGUCUCAGUUUAUACCCAAUCUUUGGAAAUUUGUGAGCAUGAUGUCAGUCUUUUCGUUUUAAAUUAAGGGAUAACAGGAAGAAACCAGGGCUGGCAGUUCUUUUUGUUUACCAAUUUUUCCACCGUGCAAGUACAAAAGCAUUUCAGUGUCUUUUCAGAGUUCACGAAAGAACUGGGCUAUUUAUUUGGUAGCAGGACAGGAAGUAGGGUUGUUUUUUACACCUGUAAAUGUUACUUUAGUAAGGAAAUUUGAGGGUGCCUCUCCCUCAUGCGUGAAAACCAUUAUUUCCAUAGUGAAAAGGGGUAAAAAGGGAUUUACCAUAUCCACAGUGUAUAUCCACAGUGUGCUGUCUGUAAUAAUCUCCAUGUCACAUUGAACGCGCGUGCACACACACCAGUAAGUGUCUACUCAGCUUCCAGGAUUGCAAGCAACUUAAUUUUGCAAGCAACGAAAAUCAGAAACCUGGUGCAUACAAAUUCUAAGAGUCCCUCUUGUGCGAUUGAAGAAUAUUUAUUUUCUUAAGUGAUUGCAAACAUAGUACUUCACAUUACAACUUGUGAUUCAUGCCCUGUAAUGGAACUGAAUUAGCCUCUUUUAGAAGAGGAUGAAUGAUUAAACCAUUUUUUAAUACAUUAUUAUAACUUUUAUUGCUCUUUUGGGUAUGAUAAAUUGUUGUGGUUUCUAAACUUAUUAGGUGAUUUUUUAUCUUGCAGUAUUUAGGGUCAAUUUCAGAUCAUCAUGUUACAUCGGAAUUCAAGUUAUGUAACAGCUUGUGCUAGAAUGAAGGUUCUUACGAACUCAACACUUACCAAUAUAAGUACAUGUUUUGACUUGUGAUACUAUUUACCAAUAACAAACGGUAGGGCGCCGCGAAGCGCACCUAAAGUUCUAGUAUAACUUUAUAGGUGGCAUUUAGACACAGCCACAGCAGCAGUGUACUGCUCUGAAGAUCUGCAAUAUAUGUUGUUUGUUGUUGCCGAAAAGGAGAAAGUCCUUCACAUCUAUCACUGUCUAACUCUCCACCAGAAGCAAUUUGCAUUUUUUGCAUUCCUCACCUCACCUCACCUCACAGUAACAUAAUUCUUGACUUGUAAUCAAAUUGAAGGUUUGUUUGUUAAUCUCAUCAGAAUUCAGAAACCAUCCAAUUCAUCUUUCAAAAGAAAGUAUAUAUAUAUCGUUUUGCCUGAUCUCUGAGCAUGCUUAGUUUCUUUGUUACAAAAUGCUAAACUGAGAUGAACUGAAAAUUUUAGAAAUGUGCGAUGCGCAGGUGGAGAUAACAUGCAGAGGGAGACAGCUCCUCCCGAUCCUGACAUUGCAGCAUGUCCGUGACAUCAGUAACUGCAUGAAUAUUUUUUAUUCAUCUAUUAUACUGCUUGAACAGUAGAAGAAACUAGGAUGAUAUGGUAGUUAUUGAUGUUUUAUCUUGUGCAUAUGCAGUGCUGCUAAGCUCACUUGGAAGAUCUUGGUCAUGCGACAUCUGGUGAAAUUUUGGUUACUGUGAUUGUAUUUGGAAUGUGACUGGAUUUGGCUGUUAACUGUGUUGUAAAUUUUGUGUUGUAUUGGAUGUUUGUCGAGUUGUGUUGGUUUGAAUCUGAGAUGGUAUGAGAAAUUGGAUUGAAUUUGGUGGGCUCAAAUUUAAUGGGCAUGUUUAGUGGGCUUUAAUCUGAUAGUUGGUUGACAAAAU